CCUUUUGUUCUCUCCUGGAGCUGGGACACUCUUCAUCUCCUGAACUUUGGACAUUAGAAUUCCAUUCUCCCUGGCCUUGAGACUCUGAGACUUACACAAGCAGCCCCACCCAGGUUCUCAGGCCUUCGGACUCACAUUGAGAAUUACACCAUCAGCUUCCCUGGUUCUGAUUCUUUAGAACUUGGACUGAGCCACGCUACUAUCAUCCCAGGGUCUCCAGCUUACAAGUGUCCUGCCAUGGGACUUCUCAGCCUCCAUAAUCAUCUGUCACAUUGAAGAAAAGUUGGACUAUGCCACAGCUGGAUUGGGACCAAAUGCACGUCGACGGAGAUACAGUCCUUAACUACAAAUAAAGCAAGUGCUUCAUGAUAAGGAAAGUUGAAGCCUUCCUAUGUGGUUUGGGCUUGUGUCCCUGACCAAAUCUCACGUUGAACUGUAGUCCCCAGUGAUGGAGGAGGGGCCUGGUGGGAGGUGAUGGCAUCAUAGGGAUAGAUGAUACCAAAGCGGCCAACGAGUUUAAAACUCUUUUUGCGCAGUAGGAAUGACUCCAUGAAGAUUUCUCAUCAUGGAGCCCAGACUAGAUGGACCCAAAUCUCCAGACUCCCAGCUCUUCUGUAAACCCCAUCCUGAUUCUCUGAGUCUCUGAAUCUUUUAUCCUCAUUUUCUUCCCAACUGUCCAUAAUGUAGAAUUUAAAUAAAAGAUUAAAUGUAAUCUUUAUAACAUUAUUAUAUUAUUGAACAGUUUCAGGUUUCUUGUUCUUAUUUACAAAAAACUAAUAAGUAGAAAUUUUAUACUUCUCUGAGCAUAAAACUAUACAAAAUAAAAAUUAUAUAAAAUUAAUUUGAUUUUCACUUAUGAGGUCUAUAAUUAUUCCCUUCAUGGUUAAUUAUCCUCAAUAGGAAACAAAUGGUUUCCUACCUUCUUACUAAGUUACAAAACUCUCAUUUAUUAAUAAUCAUUUAUAUUAAUAAUAAUUACUAAAUUGAAUAUGCCAGCUCUUACCAGAUUUAUGCUAGACUUUAAUAAGUCCCUCUCUUCCCAGAAGCAGGAACAAAGUAGAGAUGCAUCAAAUGAGCUAAAUCUAAUCUAAUUUUCCUUAUUGAGACUGGUUCUUAGGACCCUUCUUUCAUACUCUGGAAACUGGGACACACUUGUAAAUAUUAAGU
rnacentral:lncRNA from 1 species